AGUGAACGCUGGCGGUAGGCCUAACACAUGCAAGUCGAACGGCAGCACAGUAAGAGCUUGCUCUUACGGGUGGCGAGUGGCGGACGGGUGAGGAAUACAUCGGAAUCUACUUUUUCGUGGGGGAUAACGUGGGGAAACUUACGCUAAUACCGCAUACGACCUACGGGUGAAAGCAGGGGAUCUUCGGACCUUGCGCGAUUGAAUGAGCCGAUGUCGGAUUAGCUAGUUGGCGGGGUAAAGGCCCACCAAGGCGACGAUCCGUAGCUGGUCUGAGAGGAUGAUCAGCCACCCUGGAACUGAGACACGGUCCAGCCUCCUACGGGAGGCAGCAGUGGGGAAUAUUGGACAAUGGGCGCAAGCCUGAUCCAGCCAUACCGCGUGGGUUAAGAAGGCCUUCGGGUUGUAAAGCCCUUUUGUUGGGAAAGAAAAGCAGCAGGUUAAUACCCCGCUGUUCUGACGGUACCCAAAGAAUAAGCACCGGCUAACUUCGUG
rnacentral:rRNA from 1 species